GCAAACAAUAAAUAAACUACAUACCAUCCAUGUUUGAACAUAAAUUCAAAGUACACAUAUUUAUGGCAGAGAUGAGCCAAACUAGUAACUCCUUUCAAAAAAGAGUUUAAACAUACGGCUGUUUAAAGAAUAGUAUUUCUCAUAAACCAUCACCAAAUUGUUAAAAAUUGUUGUUUUAACAUUGAAAAUGGGCAAAAUAAUAACAUAGCAUGAUGUAUAAAUAUAUAAAGUUUAGCUUAGAGCAAUAAAAUAGAUUCUAAAAAUGUUGACAUUCCAGCAUGUUUUGGCCAUUAUCUCUGAAACACAAUUUGCAAUGAGUGACUGGUUUGGCUUGUCUUUGCCACAUAUGUAAGGGGGAUGUAUCUGUGGGUGUGUCUAUGGGGAAUCUGAUUGCAGGAGGAUGUUUGUGUAGAAUGUGACUGUGGGGAAUCUUUACAGUGUCAAGAUUCCUGUGGGUACAUAUCUGUUAUAAUGCAUUGCAUAUGGGUGUCUGUAUUAAUUUACUUCUUUUGGUGUGUUGGUAAAAAUGUAACUAUUCAAUAUACAGAUGGACCUUUGUAUAAAAUAUUUAAGACCUAAAUAUCACCCAAUGUCUUAAAAUACAAAAUGAAGAAUGUUCAUAAUUAAGUAAUUCAAAUUUGCAGGUGGUUGAAGUUAAUCUUGUAAGUACAUGGACUGAAUGAUUUAAUCAAGCAAUCAAUCAAUCAAUCAAUCAAAUUAUAAGGCACAUUAUAGAACUGUCCACAACUGAUAGACCGAUAUUACAGUCCCACUCCCAUCUCAAGCAAUUUAUUAGUAGUGAGUAUACAUCCCUAUGCUACUGCCCAUUAAGGCUACUUUUCUGUAUGUACAGUAUAAACAAUGGCAAUGAUUUUGCAUAAUAAUUUAUCUCUAAACUUUUACAGCUUCCUCUUCACAGAGCCAUUAGCUGUUAAUUGCUUUAUGUUUCAUUUAAUAGCAAGCACAAAUGAAGCAUCAUCCAGGGUAGCACACAUGCAAGGUCAGCGUCUCCCCCACUCCAGUUCUGACUAACUCUACCCCCUCUCCAGUUCUGACUAACUCUACCUUCUCCCCAAUUCUAACUAACUCUACCCUCUCUCCAGUUCUGACUAACUCUACUCCUCCCCAGUUCUGACUAACUAUUCCCUCCCAGUUCUGACUAACUCUCCCCUUCCUAAUUCUGACUAACUCUCCCCCUCCCCAGCUAUAACAAAGCAGUAUAGAUUCCACAUACCCCAAUUUGGAUCUGUGCAUCAUGGUAACUAAAGAGUGGUUUUGUGUCACACACUGUUAUAAAAUUGUGAGAAAAAUACAAAUUCUUUCCCCCACCCCCACCUCAAAAUAAAACACAAAUGUAGUGAAAAAAA